rnacentral:rRNA from 1 species
CCCUUAGAUGUUCUGGGCCGCACACGCGCUACACUGAAGGAGGCAGCGUGUACUCCUGGAUCGAAAGAUUUGGGUAACCCGCGAAUCUCCUUCGUGCUAGGGAUUGAGGUUUGCAAUUAUCCUUCAUGAACGAGGAAUUCCCAGUAAGUGCAAGUCAUAAGCUUGCGCUGACUACGUCCCUGCCCUUUGUACACACCGCCCGUCGCUACUACCGAUUGAAUGAUUUAGUGAGGACUUCGGACUGGGACCGAUGCGGCUUUCGGGCUGCGUCGGUAUUCUGGAAAGAUGUCAAAACUGUAUCAUUUAGAGGAAGUAAAAGUCGUAACA